UACCAGCACCCCGAGUGGUCGGGACGUUUAUUGGGCCUAAAGCAUCCGUAGCCGGUUCUACAAGUCUUCCGUUAAAUCCAACUGCUUAACAGGUGGGCUGCGGAAGAUACUAUAAGACUAGGAGGCAGGAGAGGCAAGCGGUACUCAGUGGGUAGGGGUAAAAUCCUUUGAUCCAUUGAAGACCACCAGUGGCGAAGGCGGCUUGCCAGAACGCGCUCGACGGUGAGGGAUGAAAGCUGGGGGGAGCAAACCGG
rnacentral:rRNA from 1 species